GACGAACGCUGGCGGCGUGCCUAAUACAUGCAAGUAGAACGCUGAAGGAGGAGCUUGCUUCUCUGGAUGAGUUGCGAACGGGUGAGUAACGCGUAGGUAACCUGCCUGGUAGCGGGGGAUAACUAUUGGAAACGAUAGCUAAUACCGCAUAAGAGUAGAUGUUGCAUGACAUUUACUUAAAAGGUGCAAUUGCAUCACUACCAGAUGGACCUGCGUUGUAUUAGCUAGUUGGUGAGGUAACGGCUCACCAAGGCAACGAUACAUAGCCGACCUGAGAGGGGGACCGGCCACGCUGAGACUGAGGCCCGGCCCAGACUCCUACGGGGAGCAGCAGUAGGGAAUCUUCGGCAAUGGACGGAAGUCUGACCGAGCAACGCCGCGUGAGUGAAGAAGGUUUUCGGAUCGUAAAGCUCUGUUGUAAGAGAAGAACGAGUGUGAGAGUGGAAAGUUCACACUGUGACGGUAUCUUACCAGAAAGGGACGGCUAACUACGUG
rnacentral:rRNA from 1 species